AUGCAAGUCUUAUUAAAUUCUUCUGCAUUAACUUAAUGGGGAAAACCAAAAUCACAACAUUUUCUUCCCCCAGUAAAAUCCAGUAUGUAAGGAUAAAGUGUCACUUUGGCUGCAGAUUACAAUGGGAUAAGAAUAAAUUGAAGCACAUAUCAUCCUCCCAAAUUUCUUGACAUAUUUAACAAUUUCCAUACUGACAAAAUUCAGUAUUAAUAUGGACUGUCACACUGAUGGGAAAGAAAUUGUAUAUCCACAAAUGACAUCAUGAGUAGCUUUGUUCUCUGCAACUUUCCUACAUUUUUUCAUCAGAGGGCUUUUCCUGCUAUCUGUAUAGCAAAAUGUAUUCUACUUAAACAAACUACUUCUACAAGAAAAUCUUAAACAAUAAAACUAAACAUUUCUCUUCUUCUGAAGGCAGAUUUCUUGGCUGAAAAAUGGAAGGAGAAAGUAAACUUGUAAUGUUUCUAAACGAUAUUUGGAAACCAAGGAAUAGUUAAUUAUUGUGUCUCUAUUGAGAGUGGUAGAAAUUAAGUAAUUAUGGCUUAAAUUAUCAGACUUGGUGCUUCUAAGGUCUGUGGCAAAAAUGUCCCCAAAGACAUAAAAAAUGGCUGUAUUGGUUGAGAAAAUUGUGCAUUUAAUCCUCCAUUUUAGUUUCAGAUACCUAUUUUCACAUGGACAUGUAGGAGCAGUUAUGAACAAACUCAUUCCAGACUACAAAACCAGAUGGAUUGCUUUCUACUACAUGAGUGAACGUAUUCUUGAUCAGAAAGUAGCAAUCAUUGGAUACAUCAUGUACAAUGACACCUGGGAGGGAAUUGUUCUUCGUUCUGCCCAGUGAAGCAUGUUGGAACACCUGUUUCCUAUCUUGAAAAUGUUUACCAUGACUGCCAAAGAAGUUAAUGCUGAAACAGCACCAUUAAGCCAAGUUAUCCUCUUUGGCUACCUGUUGAAAAAGAAAGCUUCCCAGGCAAUUACAGACCUCAGCUGGUCCCAGGAAUGGUACACUUCCUCCUGCCUACGGGGAAAUUUUCUUACUGAUGAGAAAGAUUGCUGAAGAGAAAUGUUCUGGUUUAUCAAAGCUUUUUCUUGUGGCAAAUUGUGUCCUGUGCUAGGUAGAACGAAAAUCAUGUACUUUGAGCCUGAGGUACAGGCAGAAAUGGGAUUCAUCAAGCUUUCUUCAUGCAGAUUUGUACAUCUUGGAUUUUCCUGCCUAUGUUAACUAACUGUCCAUUGUGUAGCUCAAAUAUGUAUGUGUGUAUUUAAUUAGAUGAGGCCCACUCCUCAUACUGACUGUGUGAGAAGCACGUUGUAUGUAAAGUGUAUAGGAAAAAUUCCAACUGAAACUCAUAUUAAGGUAAGAUGAGGUCGUGACAUUUGCCACAAGUGUGAUUUCCUCCUGAAUGUAUGAAAAAGCAAGAGUGGUGAUACUUAGCCUUGGAGAAUUCUAGUUCUGCUUCUGAUGUUGACAUUAAAGCUGUGCAAAUAACUGCAUUUUUGAUCUGUUGAAUGACUUGGAAUACAAAAGAAGAAGAAAAUCAGUUGAUUUAAAGCUACAUUAUUCAACUUUUCUUGUGAAAAAUUAAACUCCUCUGCCCUAGAUUGAAUCUCAUACCAUACCACGAAUCAAUUGUAUAUUUAAUUUGUUUGUCCUUUGUUUUCAUUAAAAUUUAACUUAUGUUGUCAAAUAUCCUCAGUAUUUUUCAUUCUUUUUAAACUAAUGUACUGCUAAAUCUGCAACUUUCUGUUGACUCAAGUGUAUUUAUGGAAAACUUUGCACCCUAGUUAACCUCAGGACUUGACUACAAUUUUUUUGGUGAGGUCAUUCUAUAUAAAUAAAGCAGCAACAUAAUUUUUUCUUCCUAGAGAAUAUUCUGUGCCUUCUGUAGUAAUGUUUGGGCUUUCAUACAUAAGAUUGUUUAAUUUACUACUGAAAAUAGCUACUUCUGUGCUAAAUUUUGUGGAAAAUGGUAAUUUGGGAUCCGAGGUCUCACUUACUAUUGGCAGGCACUAAUGUUCCAUGAAGACCACUCUACAGAAAUAACAAUCAUUUUUUGGGUUAGAACAGUUGCACAGCUGAGUAUAGUUAGAACUUUCCUGAGAAAAGAUUUUAAAUGAUAGUGUUUAUCAUACUGUAAUAGAACAAAACAUAGCUGCCACAAGCAAUUGAAAGGAACUCAAAGCAAAGAUAGAAUAUUGGGAAGUACAUUUUUGUGUCUGAAUUCAGCAAA